GCUGAUGAUGAUAUGAAGGAAAUGACACAUAUGGACCAGGAUGAGGAAAAUUUGGAGGAUGACUGGAACUUGAUACAGGAGCAUUUGGAUAAUAUAUAUAGCACACAUAACGAGUUAUUUGGUUUCUGUGAUCUUUCUGAAAAGUCUGGAAGAUUAUGUAUUACUGACAGUAGAAGGCUGGAUUCAUUUACUGAUUCCUAUGAACUUGGAGUCCACAUGAUCAAAGG